UACGGAGGGGACUAGCGUUGUUCGGAAUUACUGGGCGUAAAGCGCACGUAGGCGGAUUUGUAAGUCAGGGGUGAAAUCCCGGGGCUCAACCGAGGAACUGCAUCCGAGACUGCAUUGCUAGAGUAUGGGAGAGGGAAGCGGAAUUUCUGGUGUAGCAGUGAAAUGCGUAGAUAUCAGAAGGAACAUCAGUGGCGAAGGCGGCUUCCUGGACCAAUACUGACGAUCAGGUGCGAAAGCGUGGGGAGCAAACAGGG
rnacentral:rRNA from 1 species